CUCUUCCUGUGGUCGGGGCCACGUGGGCAGGAGGGGGUUAAAAGCGCCCCCGCGCCCUGCAGGGGCUCAUUGCUCAUGGGCCACCACCAUCACCCCAUGCACCUCACCUCACCAGCACCUUACAUGAGCCACUAGCACCCAGCGUGGGCCACCAGCUUCCAGCGCGCACCACCAGCACCCAGUGUGGGCCACCAGCAGUCAGCAUGGGCCACCAGCAGCCAACGUGGGCCACCAGCAUUCGACACGCACCACCAGCACCCACUGUGGGUCACCAGUACCAGCACCCAGCGUGGGCCAUCGGCACCCAACAUGGGUCACCAGCACCUGGCACAGCUCAUCGGCACCCAGCAUGGGCCACCCGCAUCCCAACCCAGCCGUGGGGAACCCGUCCAAGGUGUCCACAUGGCACUGGAGGAGCAGUGUGGGGUUUCCUGAGGUGCCGGUGGCUGCAGCCCCAAUCCUGCCGCGAGGGGGGCAGUGGGUGCUGGGGCUGAUGGCAGGGGUGGGAGGUGGCCAUGCGUGGGCUGAAGCGGGCACCUCGCCAGAGAUGGAGCAACCGCCGGACCCCGACUGAGAGACAGUGCAGUCACCCAUAAAGUAGAAAGCACUACUAAACAGCACUGCAGGGUGUAGUGUUUCCUACUUUAUGGAUGAGUGUACUGUGGGCUACGGAGAAGAGAGCGCCGCUGCGACCCAACGUGCCCGUCCCACCUUGUACGUGCUCCAAGAGCUGUGCCUGGCUCACAGGAGGGUGCCCAUGCCCAUCUGCCCACCCCAUGGGUACUAUCACCAUCGCUGGGCUGCAGAUGUUCUGCCCUGUCCCCUCUUCCCCAGCCGCGUGGCCCCUGUGGGUAGUGGAGGCACUGCUGGGUCGGAGCAUGCCCCACGCUGGGAGGCCAGGUAGGUAGCAAAGCCUCCAGGUCCCGCUUUUUUCGCCCCAUCUUAGCUCUCCACGUGGCAAAGCGCUGGGAAGAGCUGGGCGGUGGCACCCACGUGGGAUGGGGACAGGCAUGGGAGGCAGAUGGGGUUCUUGGAUGGCUUUGUGCUGCCCAGAAAUCACUGGGGGCAUCUGGUCUGCUGAAUAAAACUCAUUGGCAUUGA